CGGGGACUGUGGUUCUCUGGUGUGAGGUCAGGGAGCGCAGCUCCUCCAGGCCCUGUGAGGCCACACUGAGCUCCCCCCAAAGCUUCUCCUGGCCAGGUGCAGGGGGUGUUUGUGUGAGGCACCAGCCCUGAGCUCCCUGUCCUGCCCUCGGGAAUGUGGGAGCCUGAGAGCAGCUGGGGAGAAGGGUUUGUGGGAGCAGGCUCUGAACUGGGCAGUGGAUCCUGCUCUGAUCUCCACUGGAAUGAUGCAGCAGGCUGGGGCAGUGCCCUGGUUAAGUGCCUGGCUGCCAGAUUGUCUCAGAGAAAUUAAUUUUGGACAGAUAUUUCUGAGAGCUCAGUAAUUGAAUGUCUUGAGAUACUCCCCUUCAGAGGUAGUGCUAAUAUUAAAAACAAUACAAGAACAUUUCACAGCUCUGGGGACACUGAGCAAUGUGUUAAGGCUAUGUCAAUGCUUGAACAAUAUUUGGAAGUUGAAAGUGAACAAAGUGGCUGCCAAAAGCUCCCAUGGCAGCGUCCGAAACGCCUGAACGAAGAGCUGCUGACACCAACGAGCUCCUUCCUUGGGAUCUGUGGGAUCUCCUUUGCUUUUGGGACUUCAUCAGUAAUGUUUGAACUCACUACUAGAACUUUUCGGCUUCUCAAAGCUCAGGGGAGUUUUGCCCCUCACAAUUAACCAAGUUCAUUUCCAGUCAGGGAACCUUAAAAUGCCAAAAUCCUACUGUGUUAUAUCCCAGACCUGGGGCACUGACCUGAACCCCUACCAUUGCAGCUCUCUGGUCUCAUCUAGGAUUUGGGGUAAAGCUUUUUGGUAAUGUUUCUGACACCUACUUCAAUUCAUCAAAGGGGGAUUUAAGAUAUGAACCCUGGAGAUAUUGUCCCCUGGGGUGACACAGGCCCUGAGGACUGCGGGUGAGCGUCUUUGGGCAGCUGCACACUUCCCAAAGUUCCAGCGUGACUCUUUGCACAUCAGGACUUCCCUUCC